rnacentral:misc_RNA from 1 species
AAGACUAUAGACCUGCGGAGUACCUGCGGAAGGAUCAUUACCGAGUGAGGGCCCUCUGGGUCCAACCUCCCACCCGUGUUUAUCGUACCUUGUUGCUUCGGCGGGCCCGCCGCUAGGCCGCCGGGGGGCUUCGCCCCCGGGCCCGCGCCCGCCGGAGACACCAUUGAACGCUGUCUGAAGAUUGCAGUCUGAGCGAAUAGCGAAAUUAGUUAAAACUUUCAGCAAUGGAUCUCUAGAUCG